CGGCCGCGGUAUCCUGACCGUGCAAAGGUAGCAUAAUCACUUGUUCCCUAAUUAGGGACUAGAAUGAAUGGCCAAACGAGGAUUCAACUGUCUCUUAUUUUUUANUCAGUGAAAUUGACCUUUCAGUGAAGAGGCUGAAAUACUAAAAUAAGACGAGAAGACCCUAUGGAGCUUAAAUUAAAAGUUUAAUUUUACUCUUAUUAACCUAAUGGUUUANCACAAAAACUUUAAACUCUAAAUUUCGGUUGGGGUGACCUCGGAGAACAAAAAAUCCUCCGAAUGAUUUUAACAUAGACCAACAAGUCAAAGUAACCCAAAGAUCUUAUUGACCCAAAAAAUUUUUGAUCAACGGACCAAGUUACCCUAGGGAUAACAGCGCAAUCCUAUUUUAGAGUCCAUAUCGACAAUAGGGUUUACGACCUCGAUGUUGGAUCAGGACAUCCCAAUGGCGCA
rnacentral:rRNA from 1 species